AUGAUUCUACAGCUCUAUGACCCACCAUGCUUCAGGGCAGAUUCUCUCUAUGUAGACUUCCAGCUUAGCAACAGAGCUCCUUGCACCUGUGUCUGUGUUAAAAGUAACUGCUGUGGUGCUGAAGAUGCCACUCUCUACAGUGCUCAGCUUUUUCAGAAUUAUUUCAUGACUAAGAGGUACUUGCUUUAUGUCAUUAAAAUGCUGGAAAUCACAGCAGCAAGCUCGGAGGAAUGUUACCAGGACUCACUGCUUGUGCUUCUAAGACCUUUCUCUGCACACUUGAAUGAUAUAAAGCAGUGA
rnacentral:lncRNA from 1 species